rfam:Schistosoma mansoni strain Puerto Rico chromosome W, complete genome
AUCCUGCUGACGAGUGCAAAAUAGGACGAAACGCACGGCCUGUAU